CGCGUGCGCCUGGGGGUAGGCGCGCGGCGCCGGGUGGGGCUGCAGUCGCGGCGGGGGCCGGCGCGAGGCCGCGGGACCCUGGAGGUUCCCGCCCGGCGCCCGGGCCACGCUGGCGAGGCCCCUCCUCCUCCCUCGGGAGCCCUGGCCUCCGCCGAGCCGGUCUAGGCCCGGGCCGAGGCGCGAGCGCCCUGGAGUCUCGGGGUGCCCGGGGCGGGAGGGGGGCGGGGGGGGCGGGAAGGACCGGUCCCGAGGACCCCAGGAUUCAACAGAAGGAGAAAGAGAACACGAGCUGGGAGGACGCGUCAACAGGUGGCGGAGGUGCCCCGGCGGGCGGGGGACAGAGAAGGGUGAAGGGCAGCGGGGACAGCGUGGAGAAGGGCUGUCAACCCCGACCACCCGCCCCACACCCGCACCCGCACCCGGACCGAGGGAGGGCCGUGCCCCCUCCCGCCGUGCGUCGGGGGUGAGGGGCUGACUUUGUGCCCAGCCAAGGCGCUGGGCCUCUGCCAGCGCAGGGGGAGGUCGCGGCCCGGCAGCCAAUGACGAGGAGCAGGGGAGAGAGCUGCAAAGCUGCUCUGUUUGCGCGGCGACGCACGGAAUGCACAAAGCCCCCGGUGCCAGCGCAUCAGGACACCCCUCCCUUGGGAACGAAAUGUGUGCUAUGCCAGCUUCCAUCCCUGCCCUCCCGCUGCUCCUGCCACUGUUCUAUUUGUAGCGGCGAGCGCCCAGGAGGACCUGCGCAGGGCAGGAUACCCGGCUCCGAACAAAUCCCCGCAUUACGCAGAGACUCUGGAGCCCAGGCCCUUUCACAGACGUCUCUUCAACUCACCCGUGUUGAUGGGCCCCUAGGUGUGGUGAACUUUGCCCGCCCUGCAGACACCCACAUAACCUUCCCGCUCUGAGAGCGACAAGCCCAACUUUUAUUACUAACGCAGCUAGGAGCCACACAGCGCUGGGUGUCAUGGAUAUAGCGGUGAGGGAAGUCCAGAGCUCAUGUCCUCAGGAGGACAGCCAAGUUCAAAGAUGUCACCUGACACGCUCCAGAUCCCAGGCUGUGAAAAACCGAGGAUCCAAAUGCAGGGGUGUUGGCUUCUCUUCCCAGAUCCGCUGUGAUGGUCUGGCAUAAGCCCCGUUCCACCAGGCAGCUGGAAAGACCUGGUGAAAAAUCGUUUCCGGGACAGAGACAGAGUGUGAGUGGGGAAGGGGCAGAGAGAGAGGGAGACACAGCAUCCGAAGCAGGCUCCGGGCUCCGAGCUGUCAGCCCAGAGCCCGACGCGGGGCUCGAACCCACAGACCGCGAGAUCACGGCCUGAGCCGAAGUCGGACGCUUAACCACUGAGCCACCCAGGCGCCCCUGUUUUAGCAUUUCUACUCACAGUUUCUAAUCUUGAAGAUGUUCAGAGACAUAACUUAUUAUUGUGCCCACAUUAUAACCGGGAGGCCAAGGCACAAGAGAAGUCCCUUGUCACAUAGGCCAGUUGCAGAGCCCAGGUUAGGAGGUGGGUCUGUGGAACCCACACCUGGUGAGCCGCUCCUGGAUGAACCAACUUGCCUGAUCUCGCCAGAGAUGUCGAGGCUCUCCCCUUGGCUUCUGGGGGGAGAAUCAGGGUGUUGGGGCAUGGGGGGGGAGGGAGCUGGGCGAGGCUCCUGCCACUUGAUGCAGGCAGUGGGUUAGACCCUGAACUUGUAAGAAGGUGCCAUCAGCCACCUGUGUUUGGAGAGAAUGUGAGACCUGACUGCUGGCCCCAAGCCCUGUGGGGGAGAGCACCCCCAGUGGGGCUGGGGGUGCAGGCCAGGGUCUGUCUGUUUGCCCUACAGCUUAGGUAAGCCCUUUUCCAGGAACCGAGGCCUCUACAGGUCACCUGUUUGCCCUUUGUUGAUCUGCAAAGCCUCUGAUGAGACGGACUUUGUGCUUGGGAGUGUCAUCAGCCAGGGCAGUGGCCCCUGAUCUCCUGGAAACCUGCCCUCAGGUCAGAUGGUGGAAAUCGAUGGGGGCAGGGAACGCAGACAGAGAAAGGGAGAGUUCACUGCUGGCCGGGACAGAGCUGCCCCGUGGCCCGCGGCUGGACCUCGGUGAGAGGCCGACCGAGGGCACGUACGUGGCUGCCGUCCUAGUAAUGACAGCAAAGCCUCACGGGUCCAGAUAAAGAAGUCUUGUCACGUUAAGGCAUGGAACUCACAGCAGUCCCACGAGGCAGCUAGGUUCCUCCCCAUUUUACAGAUGAAGAAGCCAAGGGCCGGAAAUGAUAUCGUGUGGCUGAGAUCUCCAGGAGGGGGCAAGAACCGGGCUGUCAGAGUCCACAUCCGUUCUGCCAUCUGCACCAGCCCCAGGGUACCCCCAGAGGUGGGCUGUCUGGUCCAGAAGCCAGCGCUCCCCUGGCCCGAUAACCCAGCUGUCUCUGGCAGGUGCAGGACCACGGUAUUAGGGAUCGGUCUCGGCCCCAGCACCGUGGGGUGGCAGAGCAUGUGCGGAAGCCCGUGGCAGGAGAGAGGGGCCGGGUUCAAGGGGAGAGACUGGAAAUGGCCCAAGACCCGCAGACGUGGCCCGGAGGGGAGUUCGGCUCGAUUCCGUCAGAUUUGUAAAAAUAAUAAAUGAUACGUGCUAACCGAUUGCCGUUACUGAACCGGCCCCAGCUGCCGUUGACGGGCUGGCUUUGCUAGAGGCUCCGCCUCAACGUGGGUCUCUGUCUCCGAUCAGUCAGUCUCUGUCGUUCUUGAGAAGCCCGAGGCAGCGAUGCUGCCCUCCCCCUCCCUCCCCAGCAGCACUCGCUAGGCCUUCCCCGGAUGGCUUCAGCUCCUUAGGGUGGGGGCCGGGUCGCUGAUGUCUUUUGUCCAGUUUAGAGCAGUGGGCUUGGAGCUUCGGGACCCGUGUGACCCAGUAGGUCGGAGCCUCGCCAUAAAGCAUGAUGGAUAGGUGAAUUUCCUUGAUGGAGGAUAUUCCACUCUGCCGGAUACGGGGUUCGCCAUCACCUGAGUCCGGGACAUAUGCACAUCACUGCCUCUGCCUCGGACAUCCCCGAUAACCCCCGUGGAACUAGCAGACAUUAGGAAUCCGAUAGAUCUACGGGCGCCUGGGGGGGUCAGGAGGCGGAGCGUCCGACUUCGGCUCAGGUCAAGAACUCACCGUUUGUAGGUUCGAGCCCCGCGUCGGGCUCUGGGCCGACGGCUCGGAGCCGGGAGCCUGCUUCGGAUUCUGUGUCUCCCUCUCUCUCUGCCCCUCCCCACCUCUCCAAAAUAAAUAAACAUUAAAAAAUUAAAAUAAAAAAGGGAAUCUAACAGAUCUAGAGUCAACACCUGGCUCUACCUUUUACUCAUACCAUAACCUUGGACAAAUCACCUGACCUCUGGACCGAACGUCCUCGUCUAUAAGAUGGGGCAGCGAUGGUUAUCUCCGUGGGCCCUGGGGUGAGAAUUAGGAGGGAGUGUGCAGGAAGUGCAGGCACAGGACCUGAUAGGCAAGUCGUAGUAGUCGAAAUUUGGCGACCACCUGCCUGAGGGCUCUGCCAAGGGUCACCUCCUCCAGGAAGCCUGCUUGGCCUCCAUCUCACCGGCAAAGCUGCCCCACCUCCCCUGUGGCUUUUGUCUCGUUUAGCACUGUCUACAAAGGUGCCCCUCCCCUUGCCUGCCUCACCACUCCAGUGAGCUGGCAUUGCCUGGGCCCUCAAACCUCUCCGACAGCAGGCAGAGUGCCUUUUUUUUUUCCUUUUUUUUUUUUUUUUUGCUCCCUCCUGGGACCCUCAGGUCUACCCUGGUAUCUGGCUUUUACAGCUGAGUCCUUCCGGCUCGUCGAGGCAGCAUGGAUCGGAGCCCAAGUAGUGUGCAGGCCCCCCCACCCCGCCGGCUUCGGCUGCAAGCCUCCGGACAGAGCUCGCCGAUGCAGGGG